CUAUUGUAUCUUUCUAAAACAUUUUGCUGAUGUCUUUUGCUUUUAUAUUACAGUCCUUUCUAGAAACACGACCUCCCUCUAAUCCAGACCUGAACCUUCUCGAAUAACAAGAAAAAUAAUUAAAGAUACCAGACACAGUGGCCACAUCUGACCAUGCACUUACAUGCUUGUGGAUUGAUUGCCAGAUCUUUUCCAAUCUCCAAGACAUGAGGUUCUGUUUCCCUGACCGUAAUACUCCAUCUCCUAUCUGUGUAUAUUCACAUAAACUGGGUCUCCAUCC
rnacentral:lncRNA from 1 species